rnacentral:rRNA from 1 species
GGGAAUCUUCCACAAUGGACGCAAGUCUGAUGGAGCAACGCCGCGUGAGUGAAGAAGGUUUUCGGACCGUAAAGCUCUGUUGUUGGUGAAGAAGGAUAGAGGUAGUAACUGGCCUUUAUUUGACGGUAAUCAACCAGAAAGUCACGGCUAACUACGUGCCAGCAGCCGCGGUAAUACGUAGGUGGCAAGCGUUGUCCGGAUUUAUUGGGCGUAAAGCGAGCGCAGGCGGAAGAAUAAGUCUGAUGUGAAAGCCCUCGGCUUAACCGAGGAAUUGCAUCGGAAACUGUUUUCUUGAGUGCAGA